UACGUAGGGAGCAAGCGUUGUCCGGAAUCAUUGGGCGUAAAGCGCGCGUAGGUGGCCCUGUAAGUCCGUUGUGAAAGCCCUGGGCUCAACCUGGGAAUUGCAGUGGAUACUGGCAAGCUAGAGUGCGGUAGAGGAUGGUGGAAUUCCCGGUGUAGCGGUGAAAUGCGUAGAGAUCGGGAGGAACACCUGUGGCGAAGGCGGCCAUCUGGACCAGCACUGACGCUGAGGCACGAAAGCGUGGGGAGCAAACAGG
rnacentral:rRNA from 1 species